UGGGGAAUAUUGCGCAAUGGGGGCAACCCUGACGCAGCAACGCCGCGUGCGGGACGACGGCCUUCGGGUUGUAAACCGCUUUCAGCAGGGAAGAUAGUGACGGUACCUGCACAAGAAGCCCCGGCUAACUACGUGCCAGCAGCCGCGGUAAUACGUAGGGGGCGAGCGUUAUCCGGAUUCAUUGGGCGUAAAGGGUACGUAGGCGGUCUAUUAAGUCAGGUGUGAAAGCGUGAGGCUUAACCUCAUUAAGCACUUGAAACUGAUAGACUUGAGUGAAGGAGAGGAAAGUGGAAUUCCUAGUGUAGCGGUGAAAUGCGUAGAUAUUAGGAGGAAUACCGGUGGCGAAGGCGACUUUCUGGACUUUUACUGACGCUCAGGUACGAAAGCGUGGGGAGCAAACAGG
rnacentral:rRNA from 1 species